UGCAUUGUGGAGUAGUGGUUUGAGUGUUGGACUACUACUCUGGGGACCAAGGUUCAAAUCCCUGCUUGGCAA